CUGCCCUUCUGUAGGUGAAAUUCCCAAUUAUUUCUACCCCAAGGGCUGUUUACAGCAAGCAGCAUUGCAUGUGGGUCGUGUGAUAGUUCAAGCAUUACGGUGUUAGGCAAGAUGAGGCCGAGUCUGUAUGAGUUUUACAACAGACAGCGAGACCUGAAGUGGCUGGCUCAAGUACAGGCAAACAAUGCAACAUCUUCCAGACAGAGACCAGGAUCCUGACAUCCUCAUCAAGCAGACUCCCACUGAAGCCAGCUACAGCUUUGCCUGAGCUAGAAUUUGGCUCUUUGUGAAUUAUCCAACACAAUCCAUUGACUCUUUAACCCAUAAAUUGUCAAACUCUAUUAUUUCCAGCUAGGCAGAUGGCUGAAAACAAAUAACCUGUAAGAUAAGGUACUCUGGCUCCAGUUUUAGGUAAAAUUAAAGUUUGCUAAACACAAAUGUUACAGUUACAUAAAUAACAAAAGAAAAAAUCACCACGAAGCCAAAAAUCAUUUUUCUGAAAAAACAUAGAGGAUCAAUUUCUCCAGUUUAGUAUUACCAAACUUGGCAGUAAUUCACAUUUGAAGUAUAAUGAUGUCAUCUGGUUGGCCUUUUCCCAUCGCAAACAGUAAAUCUUAAAAUCUGGAGAGAUCUUUUAUUUGGUUAUUCAUAUUGUACUGCAUCAAGGGGUUACAACACAUGUGCCUGGGCUUAUUAAAAUCAUCUGGAAGAGAGGAGCUUGUUAUUUAAAGGCGCAGUGCUCGAGACCAG
rnacentral:lncRNA from 1 species